CAUCCGGGUCCUGGCGCGCUGCUCUCCCGGCAGCGACGGGCGCGAGGGCCGGGGCAUUCCCACGGCGGCGACGGCCCUCUCCGCGAGCGCGAGGAUGUACAUGAAGCAUGGCACCAACAGCUGCUCCUGUGAGGCCUCAAGAAGCUUACAAUCGUGGCAGAAGCUGAAGGGGGAGCCAGCGUGUGGCAUGGCAAGGGAAGGAGCAAGAGAGAGAGGGAGGAGCUGCCAGUCUCUUUU
rnacentral:lncRNA from 1 species